rnacentral:rRNA from 1 species
AGCGAACGCUGGCGGCAGGCCUAACACAUGCAAGUCGAACGAACCCUUCGGGGUUAGUGGCGGACGGGUGAGUAACACGUGGGAACGUGCCUAUAGGUUCGGAAUAACUCAGGGAAACUUGUGCUAAUACCGAAUGUGCCCUUCGGGGGAAAGAUUUAUCGCCUUUAGAGCGGCCCGCGUCUGAUUAGCUAGUUGGUGAGGUAAUGGCUCACCAAGGCUACGAUCAGUAGCUGGUCUGAGAGGAUGACCAGCCACAUUGGGACUGAGACACGGCCCAAACUCCCACGGGAGGCAGCAAUGGGGGAUCUUGCGCAAUUGGCGAAAGCCUUACGCAGCCAUGCCGCGUGGAUGAUGAAGGUCUUAGGAUUGUAAAAUCCUUUCACCGGUGAAGAUAAUGACUGUAGCCGGAGAAGAAGCCCCGGCUAACUUCGUGCCAGCAGCCGCCGUAAGAC